rnacentral:lncRNA from 1 species
UGUCACGACCCGAGAGUACCCCCUAGUCGUAACAUGGCGUAUUCGACCCCGAAGGGGUCUUAUACGAGCCACAUAGUCAUUCAUUGCAUUCAAUAAUGAAAAUAGUGCAGAAUAAAAAAAAAACUUAUUUACAUCCACACAUUUAAACUUCAUUAAAACAACUUUAAAAACACACAGCGGAAGUCUAAGUCUCACAUGGCCAUCUUAGACACAGUCACAAAACAUAAGUAGGGACACGGCCCUUUACAAUCAAAAGAAGUCUAUUAAGUCUAUCACAUGAACAAAAGAACUUAAAAGUCUUAUCCUCGAAUCCAUGAGGACAUACCAAGUCUUGGAGGAAAGCAAUCCAACACUUCAAACUAGCUAGGAGGGAUCACUUGCCGG